CACAUUUUAACCCAAUCCGUGUUUCUCCUUCGGAAUGCCCGUAGAGUGCGAAUGCUUGCACUUUCGCCGAAAUGUUCUGACUACAAACGACUGCCACAAUAUGCGAGCCGAGGAAGACAUACCACUACCACUUGCCACCUGCCCCAGUGUAUUUGCCGAUCCUUGUGCAUUAUUCAUUCCUUUUUACCUUUUAUUUUUAAUGGGGGUGUACUCCAUUUUUUUUUCUUGCCAGGCUUUCUGUUCGCCGACAGCGGAUUCGAUGUCUGGGCCAUGAGUAACAGGGAGUCAAGGACCUACUCAAACAGCACGAAAUUUUCGCAGAGGGACCCUAAGUACUGGCAAUGGAGCUUCGACGAAUUAGGGCGCUACGACUUGGCCGCUUGCAUCGACCAUGUUCUUAAGGCCACGGGCGCCCCCAAACUGACAACAGUGGCACUCUCUCAAGGUGUAAUGGCGAACCUUGUGUUGCACUCUGUACGGCCAGAGUACAACAAGAAGGUAGACCUUCUCGUGGCGUAUGGUCCUGUCGGAAAUCUCACCCACAUCGGGCCUCCAACUUCGCUACUAAUACCGCAUGUCCCUUCU